rnacentral:rRNA from 1 species
UACGUAGGGUGCAAGCGUUAAUCGGAAUUACUGGGCGUAAAGCGUGCGCAGGCGGUUUUGUAAGUCAGAUGUGAAAUCCCCGGGCUCAACCUGGGAACUGCGUUUGAAACUACAAGGCUAGAGUGUAGCAGAGGGGGGUGGAAUUCCACGUGUAGCAGUGAAAUGCGUAGAGAUGUGGAGGAACACCGAUGGCGAAGGCAGCCCCCUGGGUUAACACUGACGCUCAUGCACGAAAGCGUGGGGAGCAAACAGG